GCACUAGUGAUGAGUUCCAAACAGGACGAAACAGCUGUCUAGUGC
rnacentral:hammerhead_ribozyme from 1 species